rnacentral:rRNA from 1 species
GAAUUCGCCCUUAGAGUUUGAUCCUGGCUCAGGACGAACGCUGGCGGCGUGCCUAACACAUGCAAGUCGAACGAAGCCUUCGGGCUUAGUGGCGGACGGGUGAGUAACGCGUGAACAAUCUGCCCUGUACAGAGGAAUAGCCUCGGGAAACCGGGAAUAAAACCUCAUAACACUUCAUAGCCGCAUGGCUGAGAAGUCAAAUCGAAUAAGAGGUAUGGGAUGAGUUCGCGUCUGAUUAGCUAGUUGGUGAGGUAACAGCUCACCAAGGCGACGAUCAGUAGCCGGCCUGAGAGGGUGAACGGCCACACUGGAACUGAGACACGGUCCAGACUCCUACGGGAGGCAGCAGUGGGGAAUAUUGCACAAUGGAGGGAACUCUGAUGCAGCGACGCCGCGUGAGUGAAGAAGGUCUUCGGAUCGUAAAACUCUGUCCUUGGUGAAGAUAAUGACGGUAGCCAAGGAGGAAGCCCCGGCUAACUACGUGCCAGCAGCCGCGGUAAUACGUAGGGGGCUAGCGUUGUCCGGAUUUACUGGGCGUAAAGGGUGAGUAGGCGGUUAUGUAUGUCAGAUGUAAAAGGCGCGGGCUUAACUUGCGUUAGCAUUUGAAACUGCAUAACUUGAGUGCAGGAGAGGUAAGCGGAAUUCCUAGUGUAACGGUGAAAUGCGUAGAUAUUAGGAGGAACACCGGUGGCGAAGGCGGCUUACUGGACUGUAACUGACGCUGAGUCACGAAAGCGUGGGUAGCAAACAGGAUUAGAUACCCUGGUAGUCCACGCUGUAAACGAUGAGUGCUAGGUGUUGGGUAGCGAUACUCAGUGCCGCAGUAAACACAAUAAGCACUCCGCCUGGGGAGUACGUACGCAAGUAUGAAACUCAAAGGAAUUGACGGGGACCCGCACAAGCAGCGGAGCAUGUGGUUUAAUUCGAAGCAACGCGAAGAACCUUACCAAGGCUUGACAUCCCCUUGACAGAUGCAGAGAUGUGUCCUCCCCUUCGGGGGCAAGGGAGACAGGUGGUGCAUGGUUGUCGUCAGCUCGUGUCGUGAGAUGUUGGGUUAAGUCCCGCAACGAGCGCAACCCUUAUCCUUAGUUGCCAGCAUGUAAUGGCGGGCACUCUAAGGAGACUGCCGGUGAUAAACCGGAGGAAGGUGGGGAUGACGUCAAAUCAUCAUGCCCCUUAUGUCUUGGGCUACACACGUGCUACAAUGGUCGGUACAACGGGCAGCGAAGAAGCGAUUUGGAGCGAAUCCCAAUAAACCGAUCCCAGUUCGGAUUGCAGGCUGCAACUCGCCUGCAUGAAGUCGGAGUUGCUAGUAAUCGCGAAUCAGAACGUCGCGGUGAAUGCGUUCCCGGGUCUUGCACUCACCGCCCGUCA